rnacentral:tRNA from 2 species
AAUAAUGUGCCUGAUUAAAGGAUUAUCGUGAUAGGAUAAAUAAAGUAAAUUUUACCAUUAUUA